GUCACACGGUACUGCCGGUCUUAAGCCGGAGGAAGUGGGGAUGACGUCAAGUCAGCAUGGCCUUUAUGUUCCUGGGCCUACGACACACGCUACAAUGGCCAACACAAUAGGUUGCUAAGCCGCGAGGUGGAGCCAAUCCUCAAAAGUUGGUCUCAGUUCAGAUUGCAGGCUGCAACCCGCCUGCAUGAAGAUGGAGUUGCUAGUAACCGCAGGUCAGCUAUACUGCGGUGAAUACGUUCCCGGGGCUU
rnacentral:rRNA from 1 species